rnacentral:sRNA from 1 species
UGAACACAUAAUUUUAUCAGAUACAUUAAUCAAUUUUCUACAAUAUUGGCUCGUUUUAAAAAAUCACUUUUUAUUUUAUUGUGUCUAAAAUAAGGUUAAGCCAAUAAAGUCAAGUCAAGAAACUUAGGUAUAAUACGUAUCUUGGUUCGGGCAUUCAGCUGGCUGAUAGUUCCAUAGCUCGACCUCAUUCCGCUCGUUUUGUGCCGACAGCCAGCAUUCGCUAUUCUGUGCCCCGGUGAUCCAAGGCGGGCUUCAUCAACCUGGAGACUGAAUGUUCUCGAACCACUUUCGAGCUUUGUUUAUGUGAUUUUGUUGCGUCGUCGUCCUGAUGGAAGACACAAGACAACGGCAUUUCGUAUUUCGCAUACCAACAUAAACAUUUUGAUCCUUUCAGCGGUAUAGAAGACAGGGCUGCUCUUCCUCGCGGUCUGGAAUAAGAUUGACCUGAAGGAUGACAUUGCCACCGCCCGCGUUCAUCUAUUUCCAUUUGUCUAGUACAAUAUAUUAUUUAUUUUUAUGUUUUCGUGUUCAGGAGUCUCAUUGUUUUCAUUUCAUACAUUUUCUUUUUUAGUUUAGAUUACUUUCAAGAUUUUCUCUAAGUAAAAAUAUUUUCUUCUCCGCUCCGCAUAGAUACUACGAUCGAUGUAGUAUGCAGAUGCUGAUGCAGAUUAAAAUCGCUUUUUCAAUAAUGUAUACAUAAGUAAUGUUGUACAAACGCACACACACACACAUAUAUCAACUCGAAUUUUAGCUAUUUUGUAGGUACUUAUCCAUGUAUAAUUGUAUGUAUAUCUUCUGUAUAUAUAGGGAUAUAUCUAUAUAACGCUGCCCAUGCGGAUGGCAGGCUGGCUGGCUGGUGUAUACAUAGACUUAGUGGCUA